UGGUAGUUGCGGCCUCGGUGCCUCACGUCUAAGGUCCCCCAGGCCGCAGGCGGAGGAUUGGGCGCGGAGCAGCGGGAGCCGCUCCAGGACUGAGUGGGUUUAGGCCUGCGUCCCUGGUUCCACCAGCAGGUGCGGUCUCCCUGCUUCCCGCUGGGCGCCCAGGGGUGGGCUAUAGGGACCGCCCCUGAGGUCCCUUUUCAGGCGGUCCCUGGGCCCUCAUCCUGGGCCUUUUAGGAGGGCAAAAAGAUCUAAAUUAGAGAAAGGCGCUACACCUUACUGAGGACGAGGCUUUUUAACCUGCAUUGCUUGCUUAAUCUGUACUUAACCCGGGGGCAGGGGGCAUCUCCCAUGUUUACAGAGGAAGAAACCAAGGCUCGGGAAGUUGAAACCAUUUGCUUCGGGUUCUGCAGCUGAGAAGUGACAUCUGGAUUCAGCAUUGUGUGGUUUUGAGAAUCAGGAAUGAAACCUUGUGAAAGCUAAAAGCAGGAGCAUUUUUUGGUCAACAUGGAGGACAAAAGACGGCGAGCCAGAGUGCAGGGAGCCUGGGCUGGCCCUUCUAAGAUUCAGACCAGUGCUCAGCCUGCUACCACUGCUAAGAGCCAUCUCCACCAGAAGCCUAGUCAGACCUGGAAGAACUCGGAGCAUCAUCUGUCUGACAGAGAGUUCGUGUUCAGAGAACCCCAGCAGGUAGUGCGCAGAGCCCCAGAGCCACGAGUGAUCGACAGAGCGGGUGUGUAUGAGAUCAGCCUGUCACCCACAGGUGUGUCUAGGGUGUGUUUGUAUCCUGGCUUUGUUGACUUCAAGGAAGCAGACUGGAUAUUGGAACAGCUUUGUCAGGAUGUUCCCUGGAAACAGAGGACUGGCAUCAGAGAGGAUAUAACUUAUCAGCAACCAAGACUUACAGCAUGGUAUGGAGAACUUCCUUACACUUAUUCAAGAGUCACUAUGGAACCAAAUCCUCACUGGCAUCCUGUGCUGAGCGUACUGAAGAACCGCAUCGAAGAAAACACUGGCCACACCUUCAACUCCUUACUCUGCAAUCUUUAUCGAAAUGAGAAGGACAGUGUGGACUGGCACAGCGAUGAUGAACCCUCAUUAGGGAGGUGCCCCAUCAUUGCUUCGCUCAGCUUUGGUGCCACACGCACUUUUGAGAUGAGGAAGAAGCCCCCACCAGAAGAGAAUGGAGACUACACGUAUGUGGAAAGAGUGAAGAUACCCUUGGAUCAUGGGACCUUGUUACUCAUGGAAGGAGCUACCCAAGCUGACUGGCAGGAGUUUCGAUACUACUGACAACCAAAAUAGACCUCUACAACAGUGCUGUCUACUAGAACUUUGUGCAAGGAUGCAGAUGUUCUGUGUGUGCUGUCUAGUACGCAUCGAGUUCCCAAAGAGUACCACUGUAGAGAACCGAGAGUAAACCUGACAUUUCGGACGGUUUAUCCGGACCCUAGAGGGGCGUGCUGGUAAUGUGAGAUCCUUGAGAAAGAAGCUACCCUGAGAGCAGACAAACCGUGAAGGAACUUCAAGGGAGAGGCUGAGCCAGCUGGUCUCGUGAUCUGCUUGGAAGAUGGCUGUUUGGAAGAUGAGGGCGGGAUUUGUUUCCCAGCUCGGAGCCCUGUUAAGUGAGAGCCAGCAGUUCACGUUGGUAAUAUGUUUACUGUGGGAAUGGUAUCCCUAAUCACAUCUCGGAAAUGGCCUAGUAUCUUCCAGCAAAUUAAAACCAGCUGUGCUGGUGCUCACGGUGGUUUUGUCCAUACGCAGUUUCUCUCCUGCCCUCCCCCCUUCGUUUGGUGGACUGUGUCUCUGGGGAAACCUGCACGUGUUUGUUCCUUGUGACUCCAGUGAAGCAGAGAUGUAAAUACACGUCAGCGACUGGAGCCUUCCGUAGUCACACAGCUGCCGAAAGCCAAACAGAGGUGUUUUCAUGGAGCUUUGUUGAAGUCUGCCUUGACUCUUUAGCACCUGGACUUGUGUGCUAUUGUAAUGGAAAGCUGCAUAUUCAGGGAACACUCUGUGUUUAACCAGGACCCCUUGCCUGUCAGUCUUCCCGAGACACAUUCAAACAGGUCACAGGCCUCCCAAUAAAGAAUGAAGGCAGUAUCCUCCAGUCCAGCAUCUUCAAGCAGUCAUCUGGAUGACUUGUAAUACAAGAGAACACUGUUCCCAUAAAGGGAGGAAUAAUUGAGUGAUGUCAUGGGAAGAAACAGGCUGAAAUUGAGGCUGAAGAGCAGUAAAUGGCCUGCUAGUGACAGCUGUUCCACAUAGAUUAGUUUCCCCUAGAUAAUUACUUGAGUCAUUUGAACCCCAGCCAGAUAGGAGCGGGAGCAGUCCUGCAGGGAAUAGACUCGGUUACCUAAUAGUUCUCUUCCACCUUAGAUUUCAGUAGCCCUGUGACUAAGGCUCUCUUCUGACUCAGUGUUCUGUAUACAAGUUCCUGAGAUACAAGGGUUAGUCCAUGAUGUCACCGAGGCUCCCAAAACAGAACAAGAGUGGGUGCCCCUUAUUGCAUCAUAAAAGCACGUGUCUUCUUGACCUCUUGACUUAGGAGCAGUGUGUCAGAUUAAUUCCCAAACAAGAUACGGAAAACCUAAGAGAAAGAAAAUGAGUUUAGGUGAAUGAAAAUAGGGCAAGAGACUUAGAGUUCACCUAGCUUCUUUGGAGAAAAUUUACAGAGCCAUCUUGCUUUUUGUCCUGUUUCCUUUCCCCACUGUAAAAUUGAUGAUCCCCAUGACCAUGGUAAAGUGCCAAAGGUGGGGAAAGCUCUUACUCAGAACUGAGAUGUAGCGCUGUGCCUGGCCGGCCUCUCUUUUCUGCCAGGCUUUCUGGCUUCUUGCAUUGUAGUCAUUGUUAACAUAGUAGUACGUGCAUAGCUGCUUUCUGGAAGUACUGAAUGCUUUAUAAAAUCUAGGCAUCCUCCUAAGCCUUCCUAUGAAGGAAGUACAAAUCACCAUAAAAAUAAACUAAAACCUAUAUUUAAUUCCUAGCUGUUCUCCCAUUAAAACAAACAAAACCUGUCCAGGAUGGUGCAGCCAGGGUUGGCUAUGAGUUUGAUGCAUGACGCAGGAAAUUUGUCUUCUAUUCCUGUAAGUGAAAGAGCUGGCAAGCGGCUCCAAGCCUUACAGCAUCUCUGCUGAUGCCUCAGCUGCAGAUUUGAGCGCUAUGCCCAUCACUGCUGCGUCCGUCAGGGAGACUGGGUCUUACUCUAACGCAGACAGGUCGGGCCAGCACCAGAGAGCCUCAGUCUGAGAGCAGCAAAUCUGAGGUUUUGUUUCUUGCUGUCACCACAGACACCAUAUGCCAGAACUGCCAUUUUUCCCACCACUAAGCUAAUGUUUCUUCUGAAAUGUCAAGUAAGUACUUGGCAUAGAGUGAAAGCAACAGGCAGGGUUUUAGGAAUGGACAGGAAUCCCAGACCAUGGCAAAGCAGGAGCCAUGUGCAGCGACCCUGUUGCUAUGUUUUACUGGUAGCAGACCUUACUAGGAAUUGGAGGUGAAGGCACUGCUAACAUUACUUGAAAAACAGAGGAAGCAAUAUAAUAGUGGUAAUGUGAGGAAGAAGAAUAGGUUUGGUUUUUUUAGCUGCCCUCUUUUAGAGCUUCAACAACUUGCCAGGUACUGUCCAAGGUGCUUUUUUAAUACAUAAUCCCUAAUAGGGUCGCUAUGAGUCCGAAUCGACUUGAUGGCAGUGGGUUUGGUGGUUUUUUUUUUUUUUUUUAAUCGUCACCACGGCCCUGCAAGAGAGAGCUACUCUUCCCAUUCUAGGAAACUGAGUCUCGGAGAGGUUCAGUAAUGUAGCAGGACUUGUAAGCAGCAGAGACAGAAUUCAGACAGCUCUACUCCUUACAUCUGUGUGCUUCUCCCUCUACCAUGUGGAGUUUAGGCUGGGUAGUCAGCAGGCAUCCCUGGGGUCCUGAGGUUCAGGGUGUGCUCCUGCAGGGCUGGCACCCAGUUUACCCUGACACCCUGCUGCCACAAAUGACUACCAGGAUGCCUCAUUUGCUGCCUGGCUUUCCUGUAGUCGGGGCAGGUGUCUGCUCUUUCCUUCACCAUUAGCAGCUCCAAGUUGGAACUGUGCUACUGGCUAGGCUAGUAAUUGACCAUGUACCCAGGGAAGCUCAUUUUUUGGGACAGAAUCAAAUUUCUGGUGAGUUAAGACAAAUUCUCAGCCAACCUUCCUGAGGCAAAUGACUGAGAACAGUGUGUCCUGACCACAUCCAAGCAGACACACCUGGAAACGUUCAGAGGUACAUGCAUGGGUUUUUCCCUCAUGGGCUCUUCCUCUCCUGUUUUUAUCUAUAAGUACAUUUGGGGACUCUGGAUGACACCCAGAUUCAGCGCCAGGCUUCUUCAUGGUAUUUACCAACGCCAGGACUCCACCCGCAGGCUCUGAUCAGCAGAGCCCAAAGCAACAGACAAGGCCACAUAUUAACAGUGUCUUGACAGCAUGCAGCUUGCCUCAAAGCAUGGGUCCAGAACAGUAUGACACUUAGCAUCAGUGUAAUUUCUGUGUAGAUUGUAUCCCCAGCAUUGAAAUCAGGGUCCACAUUGAUACAUCCUUGACUAAACCGCUUAUUCACGUGACAUUGACGAUUCUUCCUGAGCUUGGGUCACAGCUAAGAAACCUGCUGUUUCACUGGGGCACUUGCUGGGUGCCGCCCUAGCGUGCCAGCAGGUCUGUCUGGACCUGGCUCAGUCGCCGGCACCAUCUCCUGGAUUGUACCGUGGCGACCCCGAAAGAGUUAACCAGGCACUGCACCAAACAGGACGCUCCAAUUGGUGGUUUUCGGAGACUGCCCUGAGGAAUGAGGGUCCCUGCCCCGCUGGAAAUAUUUCUUCCUUGAGUUCUGGCAGCUUUUACUUGGCUGCAGAAUAUCUAGGACCACUUUGCCUUUUCUGGUCAUAAACACUUGUAGUGCUGAAUCUGAAGCCUUGAUUAUUUUUCUUAACAGUGCCUUUGAAAAAGCCGAAUGUUUCCAUGGUGACGCAUUCUGUUUGUUUAAAUCUUCAUUUAUACGUGGUUCCACCCACAUGCUUCUCUUCAAAGGGGCCUAGCCUACAACCGCCCCUUCUCUUCCUUCCCAUUCUUCUCUUUGGAAGGAACCCCCGUAUGAGACCCCUGUCAAAGUUGUGCUGCUGGAAUUCGUUUGUAGAUAGAGUUCUGUGUCUGGGGGAAAGGACUUUGAUGCUUGUUUGUUAGUUUGUGGAACACAGACUAACGAUAGCUUUAAAAGCUAGUUUGGUGCUGUGCCACGGUAUAAAAGCCUCCCCCAGCGUUGAACAGAACCCAUGCAUGGGCUGGGCUGUGUCUUAGUGUGAAAGCUGAAGGGGCCUGCCAGAGCAGUGUAGGAAAACAGGAUAAAGGAGCUGCUGCCUUUGUCGCCAGAAAGGUGCUUUUCUCCAGUGAGCCUACAGAGAGGUAUGUGGCACCGAUGCCACGUUGCAGUUAUCUCUGUGCUAUUACGGCCCUCAUUGUAAGGGUGAUGCCAUGCACCCCUCUGCUCUAGGAACAGUCCCUGUUGUCAUGUGACCUGUAGAAGUGUGGACAUGUCUUCAUUGCUCAGGCAGGGCCCUGGCCUCUGACUCUACUGACUAACUCUGGACACAGAUUCUCCGUUUCUUGAAAGGGAAGAAAAGGUGAAAAGUUGAGAAGCAGCUUAGAGAGUAUUUACUCUGCUGGGGCUGUCACAGCUAUAAUCUCAUAUAUAUUCCUAAAAACAACCCUGAAACUUUUUUUUUUUGUUUUAAAAAUGAGGAAAUGAGGUACCCAGGGGAUUUAACAGACACAGGUCUUGUCUCCCAGGGUGGGCUGGAAGAGCCCUGAGUGGUUAACCUUGCUGGUGGGCAUUUAGUGUAGUCUCUAGAACCUCUUCCCCUUCCCCUGCAGCCAGUGUCCCCCGGGGGCUGGAGCAAGGCUACGCUUUCCUGGCCCCUUCACAAGGUAGCAUCACGCAGACUCCUGUCCUUGCUUGGGAGCCUGGGCAGAAGCUCUCCAGUGGCCAGGAAGCAGGAAGAAGUGGUGGGCCGAGUGAGGGGCUCCCAAGGGCCGCAUGAUCAAGUUGCAAUUAGCCGCCCACUGCAGGAAGGGCGUGGGCGAGUGCUGUGACAAGCGCCUGUAAGGCGGCAGUGCCUGUGAUUAUCCAGAUGCCCCCAAAGAACAGCUCACGGGAUCCACACAGCCGCCAGGGCUAGAUCUGGCCAAAACGUCCUGCAGCAGUUAAUAGCUGAGACCCAAGGGCUGCCUUGUCCUCCAAGAGCCUGCGGCAGACAGGCGUCCCCUAGCUUUGCAUGCUGCUGACUGACUGUGAGCUGCUGGCUGACUGUGAGCCGGCUUCUCUGGGCCUGUAAGGACACCAGCCUCUGCUACCCGCUCUUGUUACCUUUACUUGGAGAGUGGGGAUGGGACCAGCUAGGUAGGAAGUGAUUCUACACCCUUGAAGUGUGAUUCAAACAAUGUGGGGUAGGUGGAUGAAGGAUGCUAUGGGAGGCUCCACAAACCUAGGACCAGGGGUAUUCAGCUGCUGGGACCACCGAGGCAGGACUCAGGAGUCAGGGCAAGUAGAAGAGGCCAACAGAAGUCCCUUACUUCAUGCCCUUGUUGGUUAGAGAAAACUUUCCUAGAAUGUUUCCUUUGAAAAUGUAUAAAGGUUAGCCGCUGAUUUCUGCCCAGCAACCUCUCUCUCCGACCAUUAGCCUCACUCCUCUAUUCACCUGGCCUUAGAGGGGAGGGGGACAGCUAGCCUAGAGGUGAGAAACAAGGACUCUGCCCCCUCCAUCUGCUGUAGAUGUGUGGCUGCCAUUGUCUCUUGGGCUUGUGUUGCCCUUUGUGUCCCCAAAGCCCUGUGAGGGUGUCAGAGACUAUUGAACAGAUGAGGAAACAGGCCAAGAGGGGGUUAUGUACUCAUUCAAGGGCCACCCAGGGAAUGAGAGGCAAAGGGAGCAUCAAGACCCUCAUUAAGGGCCUAGACCAGUGUUCUUCCUGCCACGAGGUUCUAGAACCUGCUGACAAGGCCACAUUGCCUGCUAGAACAGCCCUCAAGGAGCAGUAUUGAUGGUGUGUGCUGGCCACGGUUGGGUGGCUCAAUAUGUGGCAAGGAUCCCAGCCACAGCUUGUGGCACACUGUCCUGCUGAAAAGAGCUCUGCACCAACCGAUAAGGGGGGUUAGCUGGAUAAUUUCAGCCCAGAGUGGCCCGGGUUCACCUUUCCAGAGGGGGGAUGUGCCCCCUCUUGUCGUCACAGUCCUGUCUGCCGGAGGGAAUUUGUUGUUUUUGUUGUUAGCUUUUGUCGAAUCUGUUCUAACUCAUAGCGGCUCUAUGUACAACAGAAUGAAAUACUGCCCAGUCCUGCGCCAUCCUCACAAUUGUCGUUAUGCUUGAGCCCAUGGUUGCAGCCACGGUGUUAAUCCAUCUCCAUGAGGGUCUUCCUCCUUUUUGCUGACCCUCUACUUUACCAAGCUUGAUGUCCUUCUCCAGGGACAUCAUGACAAUGUGUCCAAAGUAUGUGAGACAAAGUCUCGCCAUCCUUACUUCUAAUGAGCAUUCUGGCUGUGCUCCUUCCAAGACAGAUUUCUUUGUUCUUCUCUCAGUCCAUGGUAUAUUCAAGGAAGCAGCUAUGAGCUCCUCCCUCCUAGCCUCACAUCUGCUAGGAUUACUGCCGCAGCCCUUGUGAGGAGAAAGAGCCUCAGCUUGGGAUCACAGCUCUGACCUUCCUAGCUGAGUCAUCUCGGACCAGUCAGUCUCUGAGCCUCAGUUUCCUCAGCCGUGAAAAGGACACAGAACCAGCCACCUCUCAAGGGUCUUGUGAGGGUUGAGAUCAUACACGUGAUGUGCCUAACAGUAAUGUGCUUAGUCCUGUAAUCUUCUUAAGUGGGACAUUUCACAUGCUCAGUUGCUGGGUGGACGAUCCCCCUCAGCUGACUGGUGGUCUUGGGCCCUGCCCUCCCUUUGGCAGGCUCUCCAGGUGCCUGAGUCUCUGUUGCAGUCAGCAGGGGGAGGUCCAGAGGCUUUCGGGAGGAUGGUGAAAAUGAAAAUGGCGCAUGAGUGAGGCUGAUCCCAUUAAGAUCCCGCUGCACUUAAGCCUCUCCUGGGAAGUUCUUUAGACCAAGCUGAAGAGAGCUCCCAGAUGCCGAAGUGGCCUCACACUGAUGCUUAGCUCGCUCUCGGCUGCCCUGCCACAUGCUCCCCAGGUAAUUGAUUCCCUAAUGCCUGGUCCCUGGCCUGAUUCCAUGGCCUUGUCCCCCUCAGGCCAGUUCUUGACGUGUCCCAGAUGAGCGAGCAGGUCACCAACCAGGCCACACCACGCCCGGCCGGUCUUCAUUGUUUUCUUGUCCUCGCAGGCCAUUUUUCAACUCUGUGCAGAACUCCUUGGCCUGGAAGAUUAAACAAGAUUACCAGGCUGGAAUUCUGUUCAAGACCGACCAGGGCUUUUAUGUUCAAAAAUUGUGUGCCACAGGCAAUGGGGCCACGCAAAAGGAAGGCACAGUCCUUUCCAUUACCGAGAGAAGUAAACCGGGGUGGCUUUUAUUUUCUUUUUGAAAAUUAGGCUUGUUUUUUCUUUUUUUCUUGCCACAAAAGGAGUAUGUGUUCUUUGCAAGAAAUUAAAAAGAAAGACAAACAAAAAGAAAAAAAAAAUCGUUUGUAGUUUCACAACCCUGAGAUGACAACUGUUUACACUUUUCUGUGUAUUUGUAUGCUUUUUCAAAAAACAAAUAAGAUCGUACUGAGCUUACGGUAUUACAGCCCUUUUUCACUUACUGUGUACAUUGGUGCCUGGCAUUAAUUAUUGUUCCUUAACAUUAUUUUGAGUGGCUACAUAGUAUUCCACUAUCUAAGUGUAUCUUUAUUUAACCAGUUGCUUAAACCCCUAUGCCUUCGAAUUGAUUCUAAGUCAGCAACCCUGUAGGACAGACUAGAACUGCCCCCGUAGGGUUUCCUAGGCUGUAAUCUUUACAGAAAGGAGCCCUGCUGGUGAAGUGGUUAAAGCACUUGGCUGCUAACUAAAAAACUAGGCAGUUUGAACCCACCAGUGGCUCCAUGAGAGAAAGAUGUGGCAGUCUGCUUCUGUAAAGAUUACAGCCUUGGAAACCCUAUGGGGCCGUUCUGUCCUGUCCUACAGGGCCACUAUGAGUCAGAUUUGACUCCUUGGCAACAUGUUUGGUUUCUGGAAUCGUUACAGGAGAAGACUGCCAGGUCUUUUUCUGCGAAGCCACUAGUGGGUUCUAACCUUUGGGUGAGCAGCCGAACGCUUAACCACUGUGCCACCAGGGCACCUUAUCAGUCCCCUGGCAUUGGGUAUUUAGAUUGUGGUUGAGAUCGAUGAUGUUUUUGCUAUUAGUGUGCUUGAUUUGGGGAAUUAUAAGACUAGAUGGUGGGAGGCAGGGUGCUGUUGGAGUGAAGAACCCAGGCUUGGGCCUCAUUCAGACCUCCAAACAAUCAAAAGAGCAGCUGACACUUUCAGAGAGCCUGAAUUAUGUGCCAGGCACUGUGUUUAGUGCUUUACAUAUAUUAACUCAUGAUUCGUCAACCCUCACAACAGCCCAUGAAACAGGUACUAUUUUUAUCCCCCUUUUUACAAUUGAAGAAAUGGAGGCUCAGUGUCUCCUCUUAUUGGCAGCAUAGCUGUGUGCAGCCUUCAGUGUUAAGUCCUAGUGCACAUCUAUGAUUGCCCCUUAGAGUGGGGUCACUGGCCCUGAGGAAGGCUACACGUAUUUUUAAGGCUUUGAGUACAUAAUGUAAAUGGCUUUCCAGAAAGAUCACACCAAUUUACCCUCCUCCCAAUGGUGCUGGAGCAUAUCUGAGAAUCUCAUGCCGUGCUUUACUUGCCAACUGUGUGCCAGGUCCUACCUCCGUGCUUUAUAGAGGUUCUCUCCUGAAGGGCACAGGGUACGCAAGCACUUAAGACAUCUUAGCAUUGUUGUUGUUGUUAUAUCUUUUAUCAUCUAGUGAGAAAACCAGACACCCACUUGAAGUACGUCAAUGAUGAGGUGAAAGUGACAAAUGAUACUGAAGAAUGACAGUGACAUAGGGGUCCUGACAACAAGUGCUGCAGUAGUGAGAGGAACGUGCAACGUGGUGUGGGCGUGGUGGUCAGGGAAGGUGAUGGUGGAGGAGGCACUCGGAGAAUGGAUAGGAAGACCCUGUGAAUGAUAGCCUGUGAGCGGUGAGGAACCUGGGUGGCCUGACUCAAGGGCUUGUGGUGGGGAGUGACAAGUAGGAGUGAUGAUGAGAGGAAGACAGGCCCACAUCAGCCCCAGGAGCCUCGUUAGGCAGAGGGCCUGGCAGUGGGAGCCACUGAGGGCUAGGAGAGCGACUACCAGGCUGAGCAGGAUGGAGUGAGGGGACAGGACUGGAGGUGGGAAGACCUGUUGGGAGACCCUUAAAAGAGGCCUCGUGUAAGUGGCCUAGUAGGUGCCUGUGGGAGUGGCAGGGAGAGAAGAUAUUGGGCUUUCAGGUACCAGUAAUGCCGCUUUGUCCCAUGAGUACUGAAGCAAGAAAAAAGCAGACACAGAACUCAGAGAUCUAAGGUCAAAAUAUAAACAUUAUUACUGAUAGAGCUAGAUUGGAAUGUCCAUGACCACAGUCAGACUUCUUGAUACUCCUCCGUCAAGUCUAGACCUUGGGGCAUCCUGUUCAAGGAACAGUCUACACAGUAGGGCUGGCUUGUCCCUGACCCCCUGCCAGGAGAACAUUGGCUCCCCCACUGAGCCUGCAAGUGAGGAGGGGAAGUGGGCCUCCGAACUUCACAGAAGUUGAAGUUGAAAGGUGGCCCUCCCAUGUGGGGGCCUUGGGAGGUAAGCAGCAGGCACACUGUCUAGGUGCAGGCAGAUCUGAAAGUGGGCAGGAAAGGGCCUGAUUCCACUUGCCCCCAUUUCAGCUUCAUCUCCCAAGCUCCCUUCUCAGGUUAAGUUACUCCUCCUUUCUUGGGAAAUAGAGAGUAAGGGGCAUCAGGAGAAGCGUGGAUGUUGCCUUCCCAAUAGUCUUCCUGGGAGUGGAAUUCUUUCCUCAUCACAACAUAAGGAUAGAAUCCUUCCCCCUCCCAGCCCUGCCAUCCACCACCACCUUCCCCCAGCCCAAUCCAAGAUGUUUUGUAGGAAAGGCCAUCGGCAAUCAUGGUGGCAGGGGAGUGCAGUGGCAUAAAUUUGGUCUCAACCCUACCUGGUUCUAGUCCCAGCUCCUCCACUUACUGUGGCAAGGCCUUUGGCAGAUUUCUCAUCCUGAGUUUCUCCAUCUGUAAACCAGGGAUAAGAAAACCCAUCCCACAGGGUUGUUGCUGGGAUUGAGUGAGACCAUGUUUAUCUGUCUCGGUACUGGCAGCUAGCAGCUGCCCACCGACCUGGAGUGUUGGGUGACAGUGGCCGCAGGGGGGCCUGGGCUAACAGGGCUUUGGAUGGGUCUCGCUGCAAAGGAAGGACUGCUGUGUAGAUUAGAAGGAAAACAGGCCUUGGGGGAGGGAGGCACCAGUUAGGUAGAGAGAGACUGGGGAGGCAUCUGCACAGGGGCAGUUGUGGAGGGGGAUGAAAGGGAGUGUGGAAAGGAACCUGCACCUGGGAUAUUCCCUUAGGGAAGGAUGGAGGAGGAAAAGGAGACAGAAGGAACAACCCGAGAGGAAGGGGCAUCUGAGAACAUUCUGUCACAAGAGCCAAAAGCAAUGACUGACUCCCACCUCCAUCCCCAAGAUGAAGCCGGGGUUUUUCUCUCUCUAGCCUGUGAACAACAAAGGACAAGAGCCCAGAAGGUUGUUAGCGUCCAAGGUUAAGAAGGUCAUUAAGACUGCAUCGGCCUGUGACCAGAAGAGCUAUAUGGUGCACAGCUACAACCGCUGACUUCACUGACAGGGAGUGCAACGGAGAGUCCCUGAGGGAGCAGGAGAGCAGUGGGAUGCAAACCCCAAAUUCUUGUAAAGAGAUCAGACUUAAUGAUCUGACUGAGACUAGAAGGACCCCAGAUGUCAUGGUCCCCAGACCUUCUGAUAGCCCAAGACAGGAACCAUUCAUUCUCAGAGCCAACUCUUCAGACAGGGAUUGGACUGGACCAUGGGAUAGAAAGUGAUACUGGUGAGGAAUGAACGUCUUGGAUCACAUAGACACAUGAGACUAUGUUGACAUCUCCUGUCUGGAGAGGAGAUGAGAGGGCAGAGGGGGUCAGAAGCUGGCCGAAUGGACAGGAAAAUAGAGAGUGGAGGGAAGGAAUGUGCUGUAUCAUUAGGGGGAGAGCAACUAGGAGUAUAUAGCAAGGUGUAUAUAAAUUUUUAUAUGAGAGACUGACUUGAUUUGUAAACUUUCACUUAAAGCACAAUAAAAUCUGAAAAAAAAAAAAAAAGAUUAAGAAACCAGUCAUCUGAAAAGUACUGGGUGAGCAGUGUCCAGUCAUCAGGAGACUGGGCCCUCGUCCCGUUUCUGGCUGCUGUGUAGCCCUGGGUAAAGCCUUUUCCUUCCCUUAGCCUCAGUUUCCCUGUCUGUAAAAUGCAGAAUUGAACUACCUUAAUGUUGUUUUAGCUUUUUGACAUACACAUUUAAUGAAAACUAAAGCUUCAUGAAACAAAACUUAAUUGCAUGUGUUUACUCUGAUGUUUUCUGUUCCAUUUAUGUAUCAUUUAAAAAUGCUGGUGACAGCCCCUAAACCGAUGAUAUGCUGACUAAUGGGUCCUGAGCCACGGUCUCAAAACACUGAACCCGCUUAUCUGGAAGGUUCCUCCCUGCCCUGGCGGGCUGCGGUUCUGUCCCAUUUCCUCCAGCCUCACCAUCCCAUCAGCUGAGCCUUUGUGGCUUUCUUCUUUGUAUUCUUCAAGCAGAUACUGGAGACUCUUGAUUGACAGUGUGGCCAUGAUCCAUCUCAGUCUUCUGGCCGCCUGGCUGGAUGCUUCCUCCUCAGUCUCAUGAGCUAUGGCAUUCUCUUGCCAUGGCACAGGAAGGAGUGGGCUUGGAUGUAAUUCAUACUCCCCUCCCUACCCCACUCCUGAUUCUACUGCUCAGGCCAGAGGACACCAGUCCUCUCUCUGGAAAAGGUAUGGGGAAAUAGAGCCUGGCUGCCAGUAAUUCCAGGCCCUUCCCCAGGCUCAGCAGCUUCAUCUUCACUUUUGUCCCUAAAUCCAAGCGCCACCAUCCUGGUAGAUGCCGGUGAGUGAGAAGAGCUGACAGACUUGGAUUCAAAUCUCACCUCCACCUCUGCCUGGCUGUGUGGCCUUGGGAAAGUUCCCUAACAUCUCUGAGCCUGUUUCCUCAACUAAAACUUGGAAAUAAUAAUAGCCAUAUUGGAGGGUAAACUUAAGGAUGAGAUGAUGCAUACAAGGUGCUUUGCUUUGGGGCCUGGCAUGAGGGGGGUGCUCAGGAAAAACUCAUAACUGCCCUCUCCAUUCCCAUGUUUCUCUUUGAGAGAACACUCCAGCAGGAGAAAUGACAGCUGUUGCCACCUUGAAAAAGGAAGGGGGAAAUGCCUUCAACAGCCAGGGGCAGGCCAGGCAACAUCAGAGAGAGGCUGCCUUAAGUCGAGUGCCCUGGAAGUCACCCUUACUCACCCCCACCCCAACAUACCAAAAAUGCAGAGACUGGGACACAGCUGGAACCUCUGUCCAUGGUGCAGCCUGAGGCAGCGUCCGAGGAGGAACAUAGGGUUCUAGGGAGAACAACCUUGCUGGGUCCCAAAAAGUGGGCCAGUAACUACUCACAUGAGGGCACUGAUGGUUCAGUGGUAGAAUUCUCAUCUCCCAUGCAGGAGACGCAGGUUCGAUUCCCGGCCAAUGCAUCUCAUACACAGCCACCACCCAUCUGUCACUGGAGGCUUGCGUGUUGCUAUGAUGCCAAACAGGUUUCAGCAGAGCGUCCAGAAUAAGGUGGACUAGGAAGAAAGGCCUGACAAUCUACUUCCAAAAAUCAGCCAGUGAAAACCCUGUGGAUCACAACUGUUCGAUCUGAAACUGGUCAUGGGGAUGGUGCAGGACCAGGCAGCCUUUUGUUCCCCUGUGCAUGGCACCACCACGAGUCGGGCGGACCCCGCAGCAGCCAACAACAGCAACAGCUGUUUACAAGGCUGGUGCCGUGUCCUGUCCCAGGGCUGGACUCAGCAUGUUACAUGAAAGGGUUUUCAAGCCUAACGCCUUGGAAUCCAUUGAAAGCCUCUCUCCUAUGGGACCUCAACUUAUGUUCUUGUGAGUCACAUGGUUGGAUCCUCAUAACCACCACCUGUGAGAAGGAUGGGGCAGAUGUGAGGCCUUCACAAUCACAGGGAAGUGAGAAGAACUGCGUAGCAAACACCAGAGCCAGGAUGUCCAAGCAGGCGCUCUUGAGACUCUAUUUACUGCUUCUCUUGCUGCUACCCAUUGCCAAGGCUGCGUGAAGAUUGGCUUUGCAGAUGGUCUGCAGAGCUCACAGCACUUGGUUUUUGCCCCCCACCUCCCAUGAUGGUACAUUCUUGAAAAGUGGAUUUGAGCCAAACUGGAGACGCAGGAUGAGGGUGCCUCCACUGACUAGAGGCUGCUGGUUCAGGGCAGCGGCUCUGCCAGAACUUGGAAGACAGUUCCUCCGUGGGCUCCUGACUUGAUAGCCACACCCUUGUGCGCAUCCACUCUUGACAGCUGCAGAAACUGGGGCUCAGAGCUGGAGUGACUUACCCAAAGUCACACAGCUCUGACAGCGAAGCUGGGAGGUCUUUAGCAAGGCUUUCGCGUGCUGGGAGAUGGUACCACCCAGUUAGACCUCUGACCCUCUUGCCUCUGUGCUCCUGGCCAGCUUCCAUUGUGCUCCACUCUGUUGUGUCAAUAACCAGAAGACUGUCUUUCCAAAGCAAAAGCUUGUAGGUUCACCUUGGAAAAUAAAGUCAUUGAGGCGAGCUUUAUGGAGCACGUGGUAUUGUCUCAUGGUUGAACAGAGGCAGUGAAACUUCUCAGGACAUAAGGGGCAAGCCCUGGAUCUAUGCUUGACAGCUGGAGGAUGUCUCUUGGCCUCCAUUUCCCUGUCCAUAAAUGAGGGGCUAGAGGCAGAUGGGAGCCCUGGUGGUACAGUGGUUAAGAGCUUGGCUGCUAACCAAAAGGUCAGCAGUUUGAAUCCACCAGCCACUCCUUGGAAAUCCUGUGGGGCAGUUCUACUCUGUCCCGUAGGGUCACUAUGAGUCAGAAUCGACUCAAUGGCAACAGGUUUGGUUUGGUUUUGGUAGGGCCAGAUGGACCCAUUCCAGAGCACCUGUACUCCCAGGAGGCAGCGAGGCUCAGUGUAAAGUCCUGGACUAAGUUUCAUCCCGACUGUGGCCCUACCUGGCUGCUUGCUGUGUCACCUUGAUCUGGUUCCCACCCCUCCAGAACCUCUCUGUCUUCAUCGGCAAAGAUACAGCUGCUUUGCUGAGGUCACAGAACGGAAACUGCUUUGCAAAAGUUGCAGGGCCAUGGACUGUGAAGGGUUUUCUAUUCAGUCAUGUAGUGAUUCUUAGACUUGUGGUCCCAGGGGAGGGAUAUGUGGCCUCCGAGCAAGGAUGCGGGAAGGACCAAGCCAGGGACCCUGGGCGGCGGCCCCAUGCUGGGAAGCAGGUCCUUGGAGGGAAACAAGUUCUGGUUACUCCCAUCAGCACGGCCAGGCCCCCGGGGAGGUUCUCCUGGGCUCCAGUUCCCCGAGUCCCCAAGAAUCUCCCUGCCCCCCACUCUAGCCUGGCAUUCCCUGGGACUUAUCCUGGGAGCCAGGGUGCCAGGGUGCCGCCCCCACGAGACCAGCCCUGCCGUCCAGCUCCUGCCUGCCUGCCAGCAGCUGGUGUCCCAUUGCACUGUGUACAGUAAGCCCUAGAUUAGACGGUGAGGUCAUCGCGGC